CCGAACGGAUCGCAUUAUAAUUAUCAUUAUUUGAUGAUUGGCGAUAGAUCAUUCAAGUUUCUGACCUAUCAGCUUUCGACGGUAGUGUAUUGGACUACCGUGGCAGUGACGGGUAACGGGGAAUUAGGGUUCGAUUCCGGAGAGGGAGCCUGAGAAACGGCUACCACAUCUAAGGAAGGCAGCAGGCGCGCAAAUUACCCAAUCCUGACUCAGGGAGGUAGUGACAAGAAAUAACAACACUGGAAAUUUGAUUUCUAGUGAUUGGAAUGAUGGGAAUCCAAACCCCUUUCAGAGUAACAAUUGGAGGGCAAGUCUGGUGCCAGCAGCCGCGGUAAUUCCAGCUCCAAUAGCGUAUAUUAAAGUUGUUGCAGUUAAAAAGCUCGUAGUUGGAUGUCUGUUGGAAGCAAUCAUCAGUCCGCCCUAUUUGAUUAGGGUGUGAAUAUGAUGAAUUCCGGCAUAAUUGUCUCCCUAUUGUUAAUAUUCUGAUUGUUAGAUUCAUUUCUAACAAUAAUACGAUUAUUAAUAAUAAGGGGGAAAUGUUACUUUGAGAAAAUUAGAGUGUUUGAAGCAGGCUUUUGUUGCCUUGAAUACUGCAGCAUGGAAUAACAAUAUAGGAUUUCGGUUCUAUUUUGUUGGUUCUUUUUUUAGGACUGAAAUAAUGAUUAAUAGGGACAGUUGGGGGCAUUCGUAUUUAACUGUCAGAGGUGAAAUUCUUAGAUUUGUUAAAGACGAACUACUGCGAAAGCAUUUGCCAAAGAUGUUUUCAUUAAUCAAGAACGAAAGUUAGGGGCUCGAAGACGAUCAGAUACCGUCGUAGUCUUAACCAUAAACUAUGCCGACUAGAGAUAGGAAAUUGUCAUUUUACUUGACUUCUCCUGCA
rnacentral:rRNA from 1 species